rnacentral:rRNA from 1 species
UACGAAGGGGGCUAGCGUUGUUCGGAAUCACUGGGCGUAAAGCGCACGUAGGCGGAUCUUUAAGUCAGGGGUGAAAUCCUGGAGCUCAACUCCAGAACUGCCUUUGAUACUGAGAAGCUUGAGUCCGGGAGAGGUGAGUGGAACUGCGAGUGUAGAGGUGAAAUUCGUAGAUAUUCGCAAGAACACCAGUGGCGAAGGCGGCUCACUGGCCCGGUACUGACGCUGAGGUGCGAAAGCGUGGGGAGCAAACAGG